AUAAAAUAAAAUAAAAAUAAAUGUGGAGCAGCAACUAAAAGAUUACAAAGAUAACGUUUAAAUUGGAGAGAUUGAAAUGUAUCUUUGUAAUCUUUUAGUUGCUGCUCCACAUUUUUUAUUUUUUGUAUUGUCUUCAGAC